CGAAAGAUUGAUUCAGUUACUUAUUAGAAUGAUAUAUAAAUAAUAUAAAAUAUAUAAUAUAUAUAUAAUUUGAUAUAAAAUAAAAUUCAUAAAUAGUUAUAAAUUUCAUUAUAAUAAUUAAAUUAUUUAUAAUGAAAUAUUAAUAAUUAAAUAAAUAAUUAUUAAUAAAAAAUAAUGAUAUUAACUAUAUUAUUAAAUAAUAAUAUAUUAAUUAUAAUUAAGAAAUUAAUUAUUAUUAAUAUUUAAUAGUCCUUACUAAUAUUCGUGCCAGCAGCAGCGGUUAUACGAAGAGGGCAAACGUUAAUCAUAAUGGUUUAAAGAGUUCGUAGAAUGAAUAAAAUAAAAAAAUAUUUAGAGUUAAUAAAUAUUAAUUAUAAGAAUUAUAAUAGUAAAGAUGAAAUAAUUAUAAUAAUUAUAAGACUGGUAAAAGUGAAAAUAUUAAUUAAUUAUUAACUGACAUUGAGGAACGAAAGCUAAAGUAUCAAAAUGGAUUCGAUACCCAUGUAGUUUUAGCUGUAAACUAUGAACACAAUAUAUUAAUUAAUUAAUUAAUUAAAUUAUAAUUAAUAUAAUAAUUAAUAUAUACAUUAAAAUGUUAGUGUUCCACCUGAAGAGUAUAUUCGCAAGGAUGAAACUCAAAACAAUAGACGGUUACAGACUUAAGUAGUGGAGCAU
rnacentral:rRNA from 1 species